AGAGGCUCUCAAGAGCCUGUGUAGCUCACCUGACUCUACUUUGGUUUUAGAAAUCAUGUAAAGAUAGAUAAAAAUCAUAACAGAUACCCAAAUAAUGAUUGAGGCCAAAUUUUGAUUAAUAUUGGUCCCGUUAUUUAAUAAAAUAUCCUGGUGGCCAUCUUGAACAGUAAAUCGGCAACAAAGUAGAAACACUUGGUCAGCACUUCAUAAGGAACAUUCAUGCCAUGUUUGGUUUCAUUCCAUUCAGUGGUACUCUAAAAGAAGACAUUUGUAUGUAUUUCCCAUAGGGUCCUAUGUUAAACUAAGCCCCUCCCCCUAGCGGCCAUCUUGGAUGAUGGAUCGACUGCAAAGUAACAACACUUGGUCAGCAACUCAUAAGGAACAUUCAUGCCAUGUUUGGUUCAAUUCCAUUCAGUGGUUCUCUAAAAGAAGACAAUUGUAUGUAUUUCCCAUAGGGUCCUAUGUUAAAUUAAGUCCCCCGCUGUCAGCCAUCUUGGAUGAUGGAUCAGCUGCAAAGUAACAACACUUGGUCAACAUCUCAUAAGGAACAUUCAUGCCAUAUUUGGUUCCAUUCCAUUUAUUAGUUCUCUUAAAGAAGACAUUUUUAUGUAUUUCCCAUAGGGUCCUAUGUAAAACUAAGUCCCCUGCUGGCGGCCAUCUUGGACGAUGGAUCGGCUACAAAGUAACAACACUUGGUCAGCAUCUCAUAAGGAAGAUUCAUGCCAUGUUUGGUUUCAUUCCAUUCAGUGGUUGUCUAAAAGAAGACAUUUGUAUGUAUUUCCCAUAGGGUCCUAUGUUAAACUAAGUCCCCCGCUGGCGGCCAUCUUGGAUGAUGGAUCGGCUACAAA